UGCAAGGCGAUUCUGAUAUUGAUGUGUAUUUCUCUUUCCAGAUCGUCGAUGAUGUUCAGUUUGCCAUGAAAGAGGUAUUCUCCCUGUGGAGAGCAAAAGGAUCAGUUUCAUUCCAGAUGUUUACAUACAGAUGUUCUGUUUACACACAGAACUCACCUCAAAAGCGUAAUACGGCUUCACAGGAACCGACAGAGUCUCGAACUUUAGAUCGGAGCACGGAACCGGGGCCUGAAAAAACUCCACCCACAGCUGAUCUCUAUAAUACGAGCGGAUUUGAUAUCCAACACGCACGAGCGUGAAUUCUACAGGAUGGGAAACAAAAACAUGGAGACGCAUCACAAUCUUUAACUCACAUCGUACAUCAGACUGUUCAGUGAUCCCAUCCUGAUUUGGAAGUGAUGGACCGGACCUGAACCAAGCGAACAAUAAAUACAGAAUAAAACUGCAG